AGGUUUUUAUCUAAAACCCCAAAAUACUCUCAAAUAUCACACACUUCGUACUCCCUCUUAUUCCUUCACCUCUAUGCUUCUUACUAUUUUUCUUUAAUACAGAAUGUCUCUUCCUCCUUUCUCCUAUCCCCUAUUUAUAGGAGUGGGGAGCCAUGAGGAAAAAGUUGUCACCAUUAUGUCUUAGAGUUAGGAAUAACAUUCUUGUCAAUCACUUGUUGUUUCUUGUGUUUAGGCUGAAUGACUCAUGGGAAGCCAUUCGUAGAUUGCAUUGAGGCACAGGACACCUCGACUAGAGCCAAGUUUAUGGAACUCUUUCAAGCUAUUCAAAGCCUAACCGUCGUAGUAGCAAGCCUAACAUGACCAGAUUCCUCCUGCCCAUAACUGCUAGCCCUUAGAUGAGACCAUUUCUCACAAUAUUUACUAGUUUCGGAGGCUAAGUCCUCCUUAUUUUGAUGGUAACCCGAUCUUUUGGUUGCAAAAGCUUGGAUUCUGAAGAUUGAGAAACUCUUCUCUGUCUUGGACCUCUCUGAGGAACAGAAGGUCCCUCUUACCACCUUCAUGUUCACGGCCCAUCCGCGAUAACCUUUCC
rnacentral:lncRNA from 1 species